rnacentral:misc_RNA from 1 species
GAUGAAGAACGUAGCGAAAUGCGAUAACUAAUGUGAAUUGCAGAAUUCAGUGAAUCAUCGAGUCUUUGAACGCACAUUGCGCCCCCUGGUAUUCCGGGGGGCAUGCCUGUCCGAGCGUCAUUGCUGCCCUCAAGCACGGCUUGUGUGUUGGGCUCCGUCCCCCCGGGGACGGGCCCGAAAGGCAGCGGCGGCACCGAGUCCGGUCCUCGAGCGUAUGGGGCUUUGUCACCCGCUCUGUAGGCCCGGCCGGCGCCAGCCGACAACCCAUCAUCCUUUUCAGGUUGACCUCGGAUCAGGUAGGGAUACCCGCUGAACUUAAGCAUAUAAUAAGCGGAGGA